rnacentral:lncRNA from 1 species
UGAAACAUUUUCCUGGCUGCUGAUAAAGUAUAUCCUCUAUGGAUCAUUAAAAAUGAAAAACAUCAAAAAGCUAAAAAUUCAAAGGAGAAGAAAGUUUGUGCUCAAAACUGAGUUCAUUUGUCACAGUGAAAGACUAUGAUUGAUGUUUACUGGUUAAGUGAUACAAGCAUGGCGGUCUCUGCAAACCCUAGGUCUGGUAGAAUAACAAUCCAUGAGACCAAAAGAAAUCUAUGUUCAAUACCACUCUAUAAGUAUUUCAGCACUAGUUGUGGGUGUGUUGUGAGUUAUUGUCAAUGAAAUUCUUGCAGCACUCAGGGAUAAAUCCAUCCCAGUGAAUAUGUGAAUAGCUCUGAAGUAAAAGGUCUCCUGGCAGUCAGAAGUCAUGAUAUACCACAAUGCCCCAUGGAACAUUUAACCACACACAGAGGUUUAAUGGGAUAACACUGGAGGGAGGCUGCCUCUGCUCAGGUGAGAAGCAGAAGAGAAAUAAGUGAGAGGCAGGCUUCUCAAAGGGUUUUAUUUGGGGGGGGGAUGGGGGGAAAGGAUUUUCAGGAUCAGAAAUAUCUCUGGUUGGAUAUUGCUGGGGUUUUAUGUUCUGAGUUUGAGUAAACUAAGGAGUUUCUGAAUUAUUAAAACUGGGAAGUAAACUAUAAGUUUUCCCUGUAGACUCAGUGGCCAAUGCUGACUGAAGCUUCAAGAUUCUGAUCCCAGGAUGGUUUAUUUUAGGAACAAGUAAGCACAGUAUAAUUUCAAAAUGAAAUUUCUUGGUAAUAAUUGUCUCAAUCAUAUGUGCACAGUGAAGAUAAAGGUGUGGCUUCCUCAAAAGUCUUUUGACAAGUACAGGUGUUUCCUUCUUAAAGUUGAAUUCUAAAAAUAAGGGUCUAGAGGAGGAUCAAGCAUACCGUGUAGAGGACACCAAGCUGUAAGGUACAUGUCCUAUGUCCCCCAAGGAUGGUUUGUACUACUGGAGAAACAAUGACCUAGGAUGAUUAUCUGGGACAAUUUAACAGUCUGGGACUUUCAGGUGUAGUCUGGCACUACAUCUACCACAGGUCACCAACCUGCUUACUAUAUCCAUUCCUUCACUUCUGGUAAAAAAAAAAAAAAAAAAAAAAAGUGUACUUUUUCUUGCACUGUAGUGAAAACCCUCUUCCAAAGGUACUGAGUUCAAAUCCCAGCAACCACAUGGUGGCUCACAACCACCCAUAAUGAGAUCUGAUACCCUCUUCUGGUGCGUUUGAAGACAGCUACAGCGAACUUAUACUAAUAAAUCUUUGGCUGGAGCAAGUGGGGUUGGCCAGAGCAAAUAGAGGUUCUCAGUUCAAUUCCCAACAAUCACAUGAAGGCUCACAACCAUCUGUACAACUAAAAUGUGUACUCAUAUACAUAAAAUAAAUAAAUCUUUAAAAAAAAACAUGCAAGUGUUGCUGACAUAAUCCCAGCAAUCAGAACACUGUGGCAGGUGUAUUCCUCUACUUUUGAGGUCAGACUAGUAUACAUCAAAGUGACAUUCCAACCUUUGGGUCACAAUUUCCUCUUCUGGCCUGCAUGGAUUCUCCACAGGUAUUGAGGUUCUCAAGAUUUUAAUCUAACUUUUGUGGUCAGCCAGGUCCUAGAACAGGAUCACUGAACUGGCUUGUGUAAUUACCUGUUCUGUGAUCAGCCAUUCUCCGAACAGGGUGCUUCAGGGACCACCUAUUUUUCGUUCUUGGCUUCAACUUGGUCUAGGGGGUCAAACUUAAAUUUUCUACCUUACACAUGGAGACAAAAGACAGAUAGAAACGGAGAAUUGCAUGAGGCAGCCUUCAGGAAGUUAAAGAUUUAAACUAACUGAACAGACACACAAAGGAUAGAAGGCACAGGGAACAUGAAGUAGAGAAUUCAACUUUGGACUCACACUUAGUUAAAUGCUCUGAGGGAAAGGCUUUAAUUUCUUUCCUUAACUCAGAUGGAUUAUAAAUCAGCAGUAUGUUUAUUUCAUCUAUUCACAUAUGAAGGAUCAAUUAACUUGUAACAUUUUUUUUUUGCACAAAUACAAUAUGGGAAAACUAAAAGUCACCACAAUGGGAAACAAGUAGCCCUGACAUUUGAAAGGUGUCCAUGAGCACAGAACCCUGUUCUUUAAAGACAGACCUCCAGGUCUGGACUUGUGCUUCUGAGCUCUCACCUCCAUGCUUAGCUAGAAUCCAUUUUAACCUCU